AAUUGCACUCGGGUACCCAGC
rnacentral:miRNA from 1 species